UGCCACUCAGGGUCGCACCUGGAGAGUUUCCAGUACUUUACCAGUCUCAACUAUGGGAGGGAGAGCCAAGCAGAGGAAUACACAUUUCAUUCCUAGCUUGGUCAGUGGCUAGAGAGUGGAAGGCCAUCUGCUACGAGU